rnacentral:misc_RNA from 1 species
ACUCUUCAACCCUCCAAUUCCUUGUUGAAUUGGCAGGUGCUUGGAUUUUGAGCGUUGCUGGUCCUUCGGGACGGAGCUCGUUCGUAAUACAUUAGCAACUCAAUUUCGAUAAUUCGGAUUGACUCGGCGUAAUAGACUAUUCGCUGAGGACACUAGCUCUGCUGGUGGCCGAAUUUCGAGGUAGAAGCUUCUAAACCGAUCAAAAGUCAACUCUUUAG